GGGCCCGCACAAGCGGUGGAGCAUGUGGUUUAAAUUCGAUGCAACGCGAAGAACCUUACCAGGGCUUGACAUACUACGAAUUUUCUUGAAAGAGAAAAGUGCCUUCGGGAAUGUAGAUACAGGUGGUGCAUGGCUGUCGUCAGCUCGUGUCGUGAGAUGUUGGGUUAAGUCCCGCAACGAGCGCAACCCUUAUUUUUAGUUACCAAUUCGUUGGGUUCUCUAGAAAGACUGCCGGUGACAAACCGGAGGAAGGUGAGGAUGACGUCAAGUCAGCAUGCCCCUUAUGUCCUGGGCUACACACGUGCUACAAUGGUUAAGACAAAGAGUUGCGAGCUUGUAAAAGUCAGCUAAUCUCGUAAACUUAGCCUAAGUUCAGAUUGUAGGCUGCAACUCGCCUGCAUGAAGUUGGAAUCGCUAGUAAUCGCUGGUC
rnacentral:rRNA from 1 species